CUGUGAGCCACUGUACGUAGAUGAAUACCAGAAUAUUAGAUGUGAGAAUGCAAAGAGUGUAGACUGACCACAGAGAAGGAAAAAUGCCUGUAACCUGGUGACACCACCAAGAGAUUGGUGCCAGCAUGAGAUUUCUUCUCAGUGGAUCUCAGUUCUACCAUCACUCUAGAGAGAUCAGGCGAUGGGAUGGAAAAGUACUGUUCUGAAUUCCUUGAUGUUCAAGAAUUGUGAUAACCAUGGAAAUGUUUUCGCUACCCAGAGUCUCCAGUUCCACAUUACUGGAAAGGCCAGCUCAGGCCACCCCUACCAGGAAGCUCAACAUCCACUUCCCAGGACUUACUCCACAUUCGCCAAGUCCACCUCCUUCGUCCUUCAUUACUCUUAGAUGGAAGGUCAGCGUCCUUCCUCCCCUCUCUGGUCUCUCCCAUCCACAUUGGCUCUCUGAAAAAGUCUGCAGAGUCGGGCAAACAAGGCCAUCACUGCAAUGUCCAGCCUCUGACUGAGAAAUCUCAGUGAGUUUGUUGUCACUACAACACUGGUGACAUCAUGAAGGUUGCUAAGAACUCUCUAGAAGACAAUAGAAUGUCCAAGAAGGGACUGCUGAUGUCAUGUACUACAUACAGCCUUUGGUUUCCUGCUAAUUUUUCCCUGUACUGAUAGGAAACUGAGCUGCCCUUUUUUGGGGCAUAGCCAUUGAGCACAUCCUCCUUCCAAAGCCAGGGUUUGCUCUAGGCUUGAUUGGCAACACCUAAGUAAUUCCUAUGUAUCUAACUGAGUGUUUCCUUUCCAAACCCUUCUCAGAAAUAUCUCAUCCUACCUUAAAUUUUCCUCAGUCAGCAGUAGGAGCAAUUAAAAUCUACUGAGAAAUCAUACCAGUUCAAAUAUGCAGCCAAAAUCUACUCCUGUCUCAUCAUGUACAGGUGCAUGAAAUCUCAUCCAGGCAGAGCCUGCAGGGCCGGGUGUAGUGUGGGUGUGUGUUAGGGGCCACACUCAUGAAGCCUUGUGCUUAGCAUUUGAAAGUUGCCCCAAGAUCCCUUAGGAGGGAGACAUGCAGUCAUCAUGCAGUCAUCACGCAGUCAUCAUGCUUCUGACAACAGUCUAGAGAUCUGUUGGCAGAGAAUACUGAAAUAUUGGAGCCACCAAUGAGUGGCCCUCAGAUUGUGUGGGGGCUUUUCUCACUGCACCAAACUCACCAAUCAGUAUUGCUUAUAGCCCUCUGUGUGGUAGACCAUGAGAUUUUUGUAUGUAAUAAAUAAUAUAUUCAACAGAGUUGCAGAUGUGCAGGUAGAAAGUAUAGGCUAAUACUGUAGACAGGUUAGUUGACAGAGCAAGGGCCUAGCAUCUUGUAUUUGGGUUCAUGUUUGGAUCCACAAACCACACAAAACCCAAUCUCAGUCAAACAUGAAUGAUUCAUUAAAUGCAGACCCUAAAGUUGAUUGAUCAGAACCAUAGCUCAGGUUUUGGGGGUUGAGCCAUAGCCUCAAAAAUCUAUCUUUGUUAACUUAUAAAGACAAGAAAACCGAAAACCAAAACCCUAAAACCAAAACAAACAAACAAACAAAAACAAAUGAAAAAACACGAUUAGUUCAUUUAAAGUUAGGGAAAUAUCCAGUGGUCUGUUCUGAUCAGGCCAUUUUAGAUAUAACUGCAUACUGACCUUUAAUUGGAGGGUCCCAUGGAUUGGUUUAUGGACCAUUGUAAGAUUAACAAGCCUCAUACAGAACAAAACAGGAUGUGGACACAGUGACUUUGCUCUGAGUCAAGUUGUUUUUCUGUGUUGAUGAUUGGCUGUCAUAUGACAGCAACUAUCUGAAUAGGGCACAGACAUAGAACACAAUGGCUCUUGCUAUACUGGGCGGUAUAUGCCUUAGCAUUAGAUUAUCCAGGUCUCUCACAAUGACCAGUUCUGUUUUCACAGUACUUGGAGACCCCACUUGGAAGCCCAAAUAUAGGAAAGUGGAAGCAGAAUUGUCUGAGCUCAAGGUUAACCUGGUCCACACGGGGUAUUUGAGACCCUGUUUCAGAAAACAACACUGAAACACAUGCUACAUGCAAGGCCUCACUAGCCAAUUCUUGUCUAUUAUAAGGAACUUACCAUUCUCUCCCUUCCAGUCUUUCUUUCUGGGAAGAUGGAGAAGUGAAAAUGAUCUUUCCAUUCUAAGGACCAUGUUCUCUUUUCCCCUCAGCCCACAUUAAGAACAAAUAGAAGUGAGUAUCAUCAUCUGAACAACUGAGUAAUAUCCACUGCUGCUAGCAUGGUACUGUGCCCAUGAUAAUCUUAGCUUCCUUUAGUGUUGCUGCCCCAGCAGGAAGUAUUAAGUGCUGAGGCCAAAGCUCAGAGAACCUUUCAAGGGGCUAGAGAGAAGCCAUCAGAGACUCUCCACUUCCUUGUCCUGAGAUGAAAUCCAGGAACACAAUGUGAACUUGGUGGCUAAUUAACCAUACAUCAUACUUCUACCUCCACCUUUCUAUGUUCAGUACA